UCAUGCAGCCGCGGCCAUUACGUCCUAUUAAAAUAAAAACAUGUUUUUAUCAAAUAAACGACGAAAUAUGUAAAGAAGAAAAUAAAAUAGUAUAUCUUAUUUACCAAUAUUGCGAAUAGAAGAAAAAAUAAGAAGAUUGGAGAAGAUUCAAGAGCAUACGCGUUCAAGUCCAAAUACGGCGUCCUUUCGUUGGAAAAGGCCCAGACGCGUUACAUACCGAUCGAUGGAUCAUGGUCUUCAACCUAUUCUAGGUCUGCAGUUCUGCAUCAUCUAGAUCACUAUCUCCGCCAGCGGCGUAGAGAAGUAGAUAUCGCUCGGUAUCCAGAAAGCCUCGCUCUCCAAUAGUGCCAGCAUUCGGUUAAUUAUUUAAUACACAUAAUAUUCCGAAAAGGAACAUUAAUUAUAAUCAGAUAAAUAAUUAAGAACAUUAUAAAAGAAGUAUGACCCGGACAAGAUUACGAAAUACUACUCUGCGCUGUAAGAAAUUAUUGGUCCUCCGAAAAUGAAGACUUAAGCUGCAGCUGGCGAGAUUUUGCCAGUGGGGAACGAGGCUAAGUAUUGAAAUGAUACAAAAUAAAGUUUCCUGUUCUCUAACUGUGAUGAUUUACAAGUGAUGUUUUAGGGAAAUCUAGCAGCUGAACUUUAAUCUCCGGCAGCCCAGCCCUUAAGCCUGGCACUUUAAACUUCAAAGGCUCAACUACCAAUCAUAUUUUCUAACGUAUGAUUUGCUGUUGUAUUUGUUUCAUACAAAAACGUAUUUAUUAAACAUAACAAUAUACAAAAACCCCUGGUCAAAAGCAAGGAAGAGGAAGCGGAGCAAGACCUUCCUCUCUGCAGUCACAAUGUGGUCGCACACAGCGACAUCACAACAGCCUGUGUUCAUUCAGAACAAAUUCUUAAAAGCUGUGGUUUACUUUUUUCACAUACAAGGAUUUUGUCCGGGCUGUCUCAUACAAAGUUCCUUUUUUAUCUGUGCCAACACCUACAAGUAUUCCGAAAUAUGAUCACUUCUGUGAAAUUGAUAGUCGAAUACUAGAAAAAUAUGUGAUAUAUAUGACUAUGAUGACCUUAUAAAAUAAUGUUCACUUUAAAGGUACAGCAAGGCAAGAUCCAUAUAUAAACAUAAGCACAUUUAGGUAGUGCAACUGAGCGGUUUUAGCUCCAAGAUGUUUUUACUGAUUUCUUGAAUGUAGAAAACAUAUCUGUUUCAUGUGGAAAGAUGAGAUUUCAGUUUUUAGUCCUAACAUACCUAGACUAUUAAACUAGAUAUCUCUCUAGCUAGAUAUAUGUGCAAGACCUUUUAUGAAGUGUUUAAGAUCACAUACAGACACACACUGUUUAGAUGAUAGAUAUAUCUAUUGUUGAUACUC